rnacentral:rRNA from 1 species
ACUCAAAGGAAUAGACGGGGACCCGCACAAGCGGUGGAGCAUGUGGUUUAAUUCGAGGCAACGCGAAGAACCUUACCAGGCCUUGACAUGGGUAGUGUGGGAUAGAGAAAUUUAUCCCUUCAGUUUGGCUGGCUACCACACAGGUGUUGCAUGGCUGUCGUCAGCUCGUGUCGUGAGAUGUUGGGUUAAGUCCCGCAACGAGCGCAACCCUCAUCCUUAGUUGCUACCAUUUAGUUGAGCACUCUAAGGAAACUGCCGGUGACAAGCCGGAGGAAGGCGGGGAUGACGUCAAGUCAUCAUGGCCCUUACGGCCUGGGCUACACACGUGCUACAAUGGCGGAUACAAUGCGCUGCUAACCCGCGAGGGUAAGCGAAUCGCUAAAAACCGUCUCAGUUCGGAUUGCACUCUGCAACUCGAGUGCAUGAAGCUGGAAUCGCUAGUAAUCGUGGAUCAGCAUGCCACGGUGAAUACGUUCCCGGGUCUUGUACACACCGCCCGU